UCGAGAAUCAUUCGCAAUGGGCGAAAGCCUGACGAUGCGACGCCGUGUGAGCGAAGAAGGCCUUCUGGGUUGUAAACUGCUUUUGCCGGGGGAUAAAAUGGCUUUGCGAAGCUAAUUGAAGGUACCCGGUGAAUAAGCCACGGCUAACUACGUGCCAGCAGCCGCGGUAAUACGUAGGUGGCAAGCGUUGUCCGGAUUUAUUGGGUUUAAAGGGUGCGUAGGCGGUUCUUUAAGUCAGUGGUGAAAUACAGCCGCUUAACGGUUGAGGUGCCAUUGAUACUGAAGAACUUGAGUACAGACGAGGUAGGCGGAAUUGACGGUGUAGCGGUGAAAUGCUUAGAUAUCGUCAAGAACACCGAUAGCGAAGGCAGCUUACUAGACUGUAACUGACGCUGAGGCACGAAAGUGUGGGGAUCAAACAGGAUUAGAUACCCAGGUAGUCCCUGAGCGGGCUGGCAAGGCGCAU
rnacentral:rRNA from 1 species